rnacentral:rRNA from 1 species
GACGUAGGGCGCGAGCGUUGUCCGGAUUUAUUGGGCGUAAAGAGCUCGUAGGCGGCUUGUCGCGUCGACUGUGAAAACCCGCGGCUCAACUGCGGGCCUGCAGUCGAUACGGGCAGGCUAGAGUUCGGUAGGGGAGACUGGAAUUCCCUGUGUAGCGGUGAAAUGCGCAGACUAUCAGGAGGAACACCGAUGGCGAAGGCAGGUCUCUGGGCCACUACUGACGCUGAGAAGCGAAAGCAUGGGGAGCGAACAGG